AGAGUUUGAUCCUGGCUCAGAUUGAACGCUGGGGGCAGGCCUAACACAUGCAAGUCGAGCGGUAGCACAGAGAGCUUGCUCUCGGGUGACGAGCGGCGGACGGGUGAGUAAUGUCUGGGAAACUGCCUGAUGGAGGGGGAUAACUACUGGAAACGGUAGCUAAUACCGCAUAACGUCGCAAGACCAAAGUGGGGGACCUUCGGGCCUCAUGCCAUCAGAUGUGCCCAGAUGGGAUUAGCUGGUAGGUGGGGUAACGGCUCACCUAGGCGACGAUCCCUAGCUGGUCUGAGAGGAUGACCAGCCACACUGGAACUGAGACACGGUCCAGACUCCUACGGGAGGCAGCAGUGGGGAAUAUUGCACAAUGGGCGCAAGCCUGAUGCAGCCAUGCCGCGUGUGUGAAGAAGGCCUUCGGGUUGUAAAGCACUUUCAGCGGGGAGGAAGGCGGUGAGGUUAAUAACCUCAUCGAUUGACGUUACCCGCAGAAGUUGCACCGGCUAACUCCGUGCCAGCAGCCGCGGUAAUACGGAGGGUGCAAGCGUUAAUCGGAAUUACUGGGCGUAAAGCGCACGCAGGCGGUCUGUCAAGUCGGAUGUGAAAUCCCCGGGCUCAACCUGGGAACUGCAUUCGAAACUGGCAGGCUAGAGUCUUGUAGAGGGGGGUAGAAUUCCAGGUGUAGCGGUGAAAUGCGUAGAGAUCUGGAGGAAUACCGGUGGCGAAGGCGGCCCCCUGGACAAAGACUGACGCUCAGGUGCGAAAGCGUGGGGAGCAAACAGGAUUAGAUACCCUGGUAGUCCACGCUGUAAACGAUGUCGAUUUGGAGGUUGUGCCCUUGAGGCGUGGCUUCCGGAGCUAACGCGUUAAAUCGACCGCCUGGGGAGUACGGCCGCAAGGUUAAAACUCAAAUGAAUUGACGGGGGCCCGCACAAGCGGUGGAGCAUGUGGUUUAAUUCGAUGCAACGCGAAGAACCUUACCUGGUCUUGACAUCCACAGAACUUAGCAGAGAUGCUUUGGUGCCUUCGGGAACUGUGAGACAGGUGCUGCAUGGCUGUCGUCAGCUCGUGUUGUGAAAUGUUGGGUUAAGUCCCGCAACGAGCGCAACCCUUAUCCUUUGUUGCCAGCGGUUCGGCCGGGAACUCAAAGGAGACUGCCAGUGAUAAACUGGAGGAAGGUGGGGAUGACGUCAAGUCAUCAUGGCCCUUACGACCAGGGCUACACACGUGCUACAAUGGCAUAUACAAAGAGAAGCGACCUCGCGAGAGCAAGCGGACCUCAUAAAGUAUGUCGUAGUCCGGAUUGGAGUCUGCAACUCGACUCCAUGAAGUCGGAAUCGCUAGUAAUCGUAGAUCAGAAUGCUACGGUGAUUACGUUCCCGGGCCUUGUACACACCGCCCGUCACACCAUGGGAGUGGGUUGCAAAAGAAGUAGGUAGCUUAACCUUCGGGAGGGCGCUUACCACUUUGUGAUUCAUGACUGGGGUGAAGUCGUAACAAGGUAGCCGUA
rnacentral:rRNA from 1 species